UACAGAGGUCUCAAGCGUUGUUCGGAUUCAUUGGGCGUAAAGGGUGCGUAGGUGGCGCGCUAAGUCAGGUGUGAAAUUUCGGAGCUUAACUCCGAAACUGUAUUUGAUACUGGCGUGCUUGAGGACUGGAGAGGAGACUGGAAUUCAUGGUGUAGCAGUGAAAUGCGUAGAUAUCUGGAGGAAUACCGGUGGCGAAGGCGGCAUCCUGGACCGACAUUGACGCUGAGGAGCGAAAGCUAGGGGAGCAAACGGG
rnacentral:rRNA from 1 species